AUACUCUCGCAAGGCACUGUAAAUAUGGUCAUGACUUUCACUGAGUUUUUUUCCGUUGUUGUUUGAAUAUUUGCUGGGAAAUAUUGUUUGUUUGUCCUGACCAAAUAUUAUGCCUUAGUAACAACCACAGUAUUGUCUCUGAGAUGGCUAGUCAUGCUAGUAAGACUUGUUCAUGUUCACCUUGACUUAACAUUACGUUGCUAAUGCUAAUAGUCAUGCUUUAGUACCUUGUGCAACAUCAGUAUUGACAUGUUUUUCAUCUAAUCAAGCUGCUUUAUGACUGUAUUAUUGCCAACUCGAACCCUUCUUCCUCCUGAUUGUUUCACUGUAUGUUCAUUUUCCUAUGACUUCCAUGAUGUGAUAUUAGUACUUUUAUCAUCUUGUUAUCAUCCUCUGUAAAACUAUACAUAGAAACUAAAAAUGGUGCAGAAGGUUAUGUGGCAAUAACCUCUUACGGUCUUUAAAAUGCCUUUUAAUUUCUACUUCAGAGUUCUGUCAGUAUGCUCCAACUACUACAAGUACUGCAAUGAUUUAUUCUCGCUCUUACUUCUUAUGUGCCCAUUCUGUGUAAAGGGAAGUCAGGAACAAUGUGAGUGGUUCACACUCUAAUGAACUGGAACGGAAGGUGUCUCUUGUUGCAGCUUCUCCGCAGACUCCAUAAAGAUUUCAUUCUGGCACAUUUCAACACUGUAAUGAAGUGCCGGAGCCAGAGCUGUCUGGUCUCUGAGAGACCCCUCUCACGAACCAGGAAGUGGACCAGAGGGUUCCAGACAUAACCACAGGGAGUUCACCUCUCCUCUCCCCAGACUGGAACACAGGCAAACUCGCUUCCUGAUUACUGGCUUAUCUUUUUAUGGAUGGGAAGAGGAAGAGGAAUCAUCGAACCAAAGCGCAGUGCGGGUCCUGGUGAGAACGGAGACACCAGCACUGUGGGUGCACCAACCCAUCUGCUCCUCCUCAUGCUCUUCCUGGCCAAGGUGUUUGUCCCCAUACAAAUAAAAUGAAAAUGUGUG